rnacentral:sRNA from 1 species
UGAGAACUGUUUCUGUCGAAGAUCCCCU